rnacentral:lncRNA from 1 species
AUCCCUGGGGUUCUUCCGAAAAUUAAAUCAUACGCUGAACCAAGUGCGGAUUAGCCGACAACGUGAAAAAUUCAGCGUGUAGCACAAGACAUGAUUGGCGAGCAUAGCGAACCAUAGGGCCCACCAGCUACCCCUGGGGUCCACAGAGGUCUAGUCAUCGGAUGGCCAGGAUGACAUCAAGGCGGCUAUCCAGCUCUCAGGUCCCC